rnacentral:rRNA from 1 species
UGGGGAAUAUUGGACAAUGGGCGAAAGCCUGAUCCAGCAAUGCCGCGUGAGUGAUGAAGGCCUUAGGGUUGUAAAGCUCUUUUACUAGGGAUGAUAAUGACAGUACCUAGAGAAUAAGCUCCGGCUAACUCCGUGCCAGCAGCCGCGGUAAUACGGAGGGAGCUAGCGUUGUUCGGAAUUACUGGGCGUAAAGCGCGCGUAGGCGGCUAUCCAAGUCAGGGGUGAAAUCCCGGGGCUCAACCCCGGAACUGCCCUUGAAACUGAUACUCUAGAGUCCGGAAGAGGGUCGCGGAAUUCCCAGUGUAGAGGUGAAAUUCGUAGAUAUUGGGAAGAACACCGGUGGCGAAGGCGGCGACCUGGUCCGGUACUGACGCUGAGGCGCGAAAGCGUGGGGAGCAAACAGGAUUAGAUACCCCCGUAGUCC